CAACCUGUGUUCCCUCUUUUAGAGGGCAAAGGGAAUUUUCUGCCGUGGAAAACCCUCAAACCUUGUGACAGAUGUCCAGUAAGAAAUCAGUGUCCCAAAGACAGGGGAAAAAAAAAGGCAAAUUUAAUGAUUCUGUGGUUUGCCAAACACCUUACAUAAAUCAGUGAAUAAACAUGAAAUGUGCACUACUUUAAAAAGAUAAGUACUAAUUUUUUUCAUGAUUUAAUAACUAAAUGGAUCUUUGAGCAUGUGUUACCUUUUUUUUAUGAGCUUUUAGAGCUUCCAACCUCACCAGGGUGCAGCAACCAGCAGCUCAAAGCCAGCGGGACCAUUAAAGACCUAAAAAUCAGAACUCCCAAUAUCAAAUUUGAACCCAGUAAAAAAAGCACUGUGCCAGAACAGAUCCAUAAAGCACAUUUCAACAACAAGUUACAGCUGCUGCCCCGUAUUUAUAGCUUUGGGACAAAAAAAAAAAAAAAAAUAGAAAGCAAAACACAACAGACUGGAAAGAGUGGAAAGGAUUGGAAACAGCAAAUUUGUCAAUGUUUUUCCUCACUGCCGAGUCGCUGCUGCUUUAGAUUAGCCCUGUCCCCUGCAAUUUGACAGUAGCGCCGUGAACCUGCAGCGUGAGGAUCCCGGGCUAAGAUAGGGAGAAAGGAGGAGGAAUUCAGGGAAUGUUUUCCCUCGGAGCAAGCGGGGAAGCGCAGCCGCUGGGACCCGGGCUGCGGUGACAGCGCUAACACUUCCCAGAGCCGGGGACCCCGCCGCUGGAAUGGCAUUGCCCACCCUGAAAGUGAGAAGCUCAAAGGGACAGAGGAAGAAAUCUGGGGGAGCAGACUGCUGAAAAACCACUGUGCUAAAAAACCCCUAAAAAUCAGGAUUUUCCCUUAUGGACUGAAAGAAGCCCUAUUAAAAUCCUAUCUUCUGGAAAGCGUCAGAGAGGCAGGAGGGGUUUCCAAGGAAAAUUUCCACCUCCUGAGCAGAACGAGGAAGGAGCUCACUGUGGCCACACAAGAUCUGAAACCAAGGGGGUGUUUUGGGUCCUUCCUGGUGAGGAUCUUCACCUUUUUCAGAUGUCAAGAAGCCACCAAGGUGUCUUCCAAAGCAACGUAUCAGCGAGCUGAUCCCAGUUUGGGGAUUUGA
rnacentral:lncRNA from 1 species